rnacentral:rRNA from 1 species
GACGAACGCUGGCGGCGUGCUUAACACAUACAAGUCGAACGGUAAGGCCCUUCGGGGUACACGAGUGGCGAACGGGUGAGUAACACGUGGGUGAUCUGCCCUGCACUUCGGGAUAAGCCUGGGAAACUGGGUCUAAUACCGGAUAGGACUCCUGCCUGCAUGGGUGGGGGUGGAAAGCUUUUGCGGUGUGGGAUGGGACCGCGGCCUAUCAGCUUGUUGGUGGGGUGAUGGCCUACCAAGGCGACGACGGGUAGCCGGCCUGAGGGGGUGCUCGGCCACACUGGGACUGGGAUACGGCCCAGACUCCUACGGGAGGCAGCAGGGGGGAAUAUGGCACAAUGGGCGCAAGCCUGAUGCAGCGACGCCGCGUGAGGGAUGACGGCCUUCGGGUUGUAAACCUCUUUCAGCACAGACGAAGCGCAAGUGACGGUAUGUGCAGAAGAAGGACCGGCCAACUACGUGCCAGCCGCCGCGGUAA